UACGUAGGGACCGAGCGUUGUCCGGAUUCAUUGGGCGUAAAGAGCUCGUAGGCGGCCACUCAAGUCGAAUGUGAAACCUCGAGGCUUAACCUCGAGCCUGCAUUCGAUACUGGGCGGCUAGAGUCUGGUAGGGGGAUCUGGAAUUCCUGGUGUAGCGGUGGAAUGCGCAGAUAUCAGGAGGAACACCGGUGGCGAAGGCGGGACUCUGGGCCGAUACUGACGCUGAGGAGCGAAAGCGUGGGGAGCGAACAGG
rnacentral:rRNA from 1 species